UGGGGAAUUUUGGACAAUGGGCGAAAGCCUGAAUCCCAGCAAUGCCGCGUGUGUGAAGAAGGCCUUCGGGUUGUAAAGCACUUUUGUCCGGAAAGAAAUCCUUGGCUCUAAUACAGUCGGGGGAUGACGGUACCGGAAGAAUAAGCACCGGCUAACUACGUGCCAGCAGCCGCGGUAAUACGUAGGGUGCAAGCGUUAAUCGGAAUUACUGGGCGUAAAGCGUGCGCAGGCGGUUUGCUAAGACCGAUGUGAAAUCCCCGGGCUCAACCUGGGACUGCAUUGGUGACUGGCAGGCUAGAGUAUGGCAGAGGGGGGUAGAAUUCCACGUGUAGCAGUGAAAUGCGUAGAGAUGUGGAGGAAUACCGAUGGCGAAGGCAGCCCCCUGGGCCAAUACUGACGCUCAUGCACGAAAAGCGUGGGGGAGCAAAACAGGAUUAGAUACCCCUGGUAGUCCCACGCCCCUAAACGAUGUCAACUAGUUGUUGGGGAUUCAUUUCCUUAGUAACGUACUAACGCGUGAAGUUGACCGCCUGGGGGAGUACGGUCGCAAGAUUAAAACUCAAAUGAAUUGACGGGGUCAUAGCUGUUU
rnacentral:rRNA from 1 species